AGCGGCGUCAGGAGCCGCUCCAGUUCUUCGUAACGCACAUGGGCUGGCACGUUGCUCAGGUACAGCGUCCGUGUUAGUACACUGUCGACAAGGGAAAACACCACACCAAAAACAAACAGGUCAAAAGACCGGAAGUGCAGGUGGUGCCAUUACAAAUAUUACAGAAAUAAUUGAUGGACAUUUCCGCUAGCAUUUCCUAUCUCAUUCAUCGGGAGGAACAAACAAAAAAGAAAAAAGCCGAUUGUUAACCGGUUAGAAUACUCUGUGUCGACCUGUAUAUAAUAUCGUUCGCAUUACACGUGUUUCCUUUUCAAAUUAUCUAGAGUGUACACACACACACACACACACACUCUCUCUCUUUAAACAGAAUGUAAUAACUGUUUCGAGUGUCAAGGGGAGGAUGAAUCAUUUAAAGAGAAAAGAAACUAAUCAAAAAGGUUUCCCAAUGAUCAAAUAUCCGGAGAGUAGAGUGGGCGUGAUUGCGGACACUGGUGCCAUGCCGACGACAUGAGUCGGACGGACGACCACGCGCCCGGUGACGCACGGGAAAUGAUGCAACGAAGCGCGAUCGUCAAAAGAAUAAACGGACGAAAAACACACACACACAGACGAAUAUAAUA